rnacentral:rRNA from 1 species
GGGCCUACGGGAGGCAGCAGUGGGGAAUAUUGCGCAAUGGGCGAAAGCCUGACGCAGCGACGCCGCGUGAGGGAUGAAGGCCUUCGGGUCGUAAACCUCUGUCAGGAGGGAAGAACCGCCAUGGUGCUAAUCAGCCAUGGU